rnacentral:rRNA from 1 species
GGUGCUAUGGUUGUCGUCAGCUCGUGUCGUGAGAUGUUGGGUUAAGUCCCGCAACGAGCGCAACCCUUGCCUUUAGUUGCCAUCAUUCAGUUGGGCACUCUAGAGGGACUGCCGGUGUCAAACCGGAGGAAGGUGGGAUGACGUCAAGUCCUCAUGGCCUUUAUGCCCAGGGCUACACACGUGCUACAAUGGGCGGUACAAAGAGCAGCGAGCUCGCGAGAGUAAGCAAAUCUCAAAAAGCCGUCCUCAGUUCGGAUUGGAGUCUGCAACUCGACUCCAUGAAGUUGGAAUCGCUAGUAAUCGCGGAUCAGCAUGCCGCGGUGAAUACGUUCCCGGGCCUU